GGUCUAAUAGUUUAAUAAAAACUUUAAAUUGCAAAUUUAAGAAUGAUUUCUAUCUAAGACUU
rnacentral:tRNA from 1 species